UGCAGAGGGGGCAAGCGUUGUUCGGAAUUACUGGGCGUAAAGGGCGCGUAGGUGGCCUUCUAAGUUGAACGUGAAAUCCCUGGGCUCAACCCAGGAACUGCGUCCAAGACUGGGAGGCUUGAAUCCGGGAGAGGGAUGCGGAACUCCAGGUGUAGCGGUGAAAUGCGUAGAUAUCUGGAGGAACACCGGUGGCGAAGGCGGCAUCCUGGACCGGGAUUGACACUGAGGCGCGAAAGCCAGGGGAGCAAACGGG
rnacentral:rRNA from 1 species